rnacentral:lncRNA from 1 species
GGUAUAAGGAAUGCACAAAUUAGUUUUCCUGUGACAGCAUGCAGAGCACUUUUCCAAGCCCCGUCACCUGUCCUUAGUUCCUCUGAACUAUACAGAGGAACAAAUCAAUAUAAAUGCAGAAGAGAAAAGAUGAGAUCAGCUGAUUUUGGUGUUGAUAUGGGUAAUAUCUGAUUUACAUUCAGUUUUCAUGUGGGAUCUCUGUGCCUGGCUUGGUUUAAUGAUUCAAAGUGACAAUACAGUCAACUUCUGAGAAAAUGAUCUAUGGAAAAUUGAAAGUUUAAAAUAUUUUCUUCCUCCUAACUUUGAAGAGGACUUGUUUCAUAUCAAAUCUGCCUGUUCAUCUGCCUGUCCGUCCACUCACUGUUUAUCCAUGGAUCUUGGUGUUAGCUUCUGAGGUGGUAAUGAAUUCAAAACCCUUCUGUUCCUACUCUCAUAUUAAAGGUUCAAAAAUC